GCACGAGUAGCUCAAUUGGAUAGAGCACUGGUCUACGGAACCAGCGGUUGGAGGUUCGAAUCCUCCCUCGUGCA
rnacentral:tRNA from 1 species